GGGUUAGCCCUAGCUGGGCUGGGACCAUCCCAGUACUGGGUUAGGGUUAGGGUUAGCCCUAGCUGGGCUGGGACCAUACCAGUACUGGGAUACUCCAUAGUAUGGUGGCAAGGAAACAAAACACCAAGAAGAUUGGGUUAGGGUUAGGGUUAGGGUUAGCCCUAACCCUAGCUGGGCUGGGACCAUCCCAGUACUGGGAUACUCCAUAGUACCGUGGCAAGGAAACAAAACACCAAGAAGAUUGGGUUAGGGUUAGGGUUAGGGUUAGGGUUAGCCCUAACCCUAGCUGGGCUGGGACCAUCCCAGUACUGGGAUACUCCAUAGUACCGUGGCAAGGAAACAAAACACCAAGAAGAUUGGGUUAGGGUUAGGGUUAGGGUUAGCCCUAACCCUAGCUGGGCUGGGACCAUCCCAGUACUGGGAUACUCCAUAGUACCGUGGCAAGGAAACCAAAACACCAAGAAGAUUGAAGCUCUUUAGGAAAACAGCCCUAAUGUUGGAGACAAACAUCAUUAUGUUGUCAUCCAGUCCCAUGUAUUUAUUUUCCAAACUAUAGCACACUAUAUUUUACAUCCAGCGGGUUUUUAAAAGGACUAAAGAGUUGUCUGCGUCGUGUUUUCAUUGUUUCCAUGGAAACAUCUGUCAAUAUUGGUAUGUCACAGCCCUGAUACCUAUGAGACAGUGUAUAGUUGGUCACCACAGGUCCAGGGUCAGGUAACAGUGUAUAGUUGGUAACCACAGGUCCAGGGUCAGGUAACAGUGUAUAGUUGGUAACCACAGGUCCAGGGUCAGGUAACAGUGUAUAGUUGGUAACCACAGGUCCAGGGUCAGGUAACAGUGUAUAGUUCCUCCUUGGUGCUGUGGCAGAGUGUGUAACCACAGGUCCAGGGUCAGGUAACAGUGUAUAAUUCCUCCUUGGUGCUGUGGCAGAGUGUGUAACCACAGGUCCAGGGUCAGGUAACAGUGUAUAAUUCCUCCUUGGUGCUGUGGCAGAGUGUGUAACCACAGGUCCAGGGUCAGGUAACGGUGUAUAAUUCCUCCUUGGUGCUGUGGCAGAGUGUGUAACCACAGGUCCAGGGUCAGGUAACAGUGUAUAGUUCCUCCUUGGUGCUGUGGCAGAGUGUGUAACCACAGGUCCAGGGUCAGGUAACAGUGUAUAGUUCCUCCUUGGUGCUGUGGCAGAGUGUGUAACCACAGGUCCAGGGUCAGGUAACAGUGUAUAGUUCCUCCUUGGUGCUGUGGCAGAGUGUGUAACCACAGGUCCAGGGUCAGGUAACAGUGUAUAGUUGGUAACCACAGGUCCAGGGUCAGGUAACAGUGUAUAGUUCCUCCUUGGUGCUGUGGCAGAGUGUGUAACCACAGGUCCAGGGUCAGGUAACGGUGUAUAAUUCCUCCUUGGUGCUGUGGCAGAGUGUGUAACCACAGGUCCAGGGUCAGGUAACGGUGUAUAAUUCCUCCUUGGUGCUGUGGCAGAGUGUGUAACCACAGACUCCAGAGCUCCAGGUGUUAACAGACUCUGUCUCUCUGGGAGGCAGC